GACGAACGCUGGCGGCGUGCUUAACACAUGCAAGUCGAACGGAAAGGCCCUGCUUUUGUGGGGUGCUCGAGUGGCGAACGGGUGAGUAACACGUGAGUAACCUGCCCUUGACUUUGGGAUAACUUCAGGAAACUGGGGCUAAUACCGGAUAGGAGCUCCUGCUGCAUGGUGGGGGUUGGAAAGUUUCGGCGGUUGGGGAUGGACUCGCGGCUUAUCAGCUUGUUGGUGGGGUAGUGGCUUACCAAGGCUUUGACGGGUAGCCGGCCUGAGAGGGUGACCGGCCAAAUUGGGACUGGGAUACGACCCAGACUCCUACGGGAGGCAGCAGUGGGGAAUAUUGCACAAUGGGCGGAAGCAUGAUGCAGCAACGCCGCGUGCGGGAUGACGGCCUUCGGGUUGUAAACCGCUUUCGCCUGUGACGAAGCGUGAGUGACGGUAAUGGGUAAAGAAGCACCGGCUAACUACGUG
rnacentral:rRNA from 1 species